rnacentral:rRNA from 1 species
UACGAAGGGGGCUAGCGUUGCUCGGAAUCACUGGGCGUAAAGCGCACGUAGGCGGACUCUUAAGUCAGGGGUGAAAUCCUGGAGCUCAACUCCAGAACUGCCUUUGAUACUGGGAGUCUUGAGUUCGGGAGAGGUGAGUGGAACUGCGAGUGUAGAGGUGAAAUUCGUAGAUAUUCGCAAGAACACCAGUGGCGAAGGCGGCUCACUGGCCCGAUACUGACGCUGAGGUGCGAAAGCGUGGGAGCAACAGG